rnacentral:rRNA from 1 species
GUGGAGCAAUCCAUGAGUAAAGUGGCGCACGGGUGAGUAACACGUGACUAACCUACCCUCGAGUGGGGAAUAACCUCGGGAAACCGGGGCUAAUACCGCAUAACAUCUACGGAUCAAAUGCGUAAGCAGCUUGGGGAGGGGGUCGCGGCUGAUUAGCUAGUUGGCGGGGUAAUGGCCCACCAAGGCAGUGAUCAGUAGCCGGCCUGAGAGGGCGCACGGCCACACUGGAACUGAAACACGGUCCAGACUCCUACGGGAGGCAGCAGUGGGGAAUUUUGCGCAAUGGGGGAAACCCUGACGCAGCAACGCCGCGUGGAGGAUGACGCCCCUUGGGGUGUAAACUCCUUUCGAUCGGGACGAUUAUGACGGUACCGGAUGAAGAAGCACCGGCUAACUCUGUGCCAGCAGCCGCGGUAAUACAGAGGGUGCAAGCGUUGUUCGGAAUUAUUGGGCGUAAAGGGUGCGUAGGCGGUGCGGUAAGUCUUCUGUGAAAUCUCCGGGCUCAACUCGGAGCCUGCAGAGGAAACUGCCGUGCUGGAGUAUGGGAGAGGUGAGUGGAAUUCCCGGUGUAGCGGUGAAAUGCGUAGAUAUCGGGAGGAA